rnacentral:rRNA from 1 species
GUAAGGAAUAUUGGACAAUGGACGCAAGUCUGAUCCAGCCAUGCCGCGUGAAGGAUUAAGGUCCUCUGGAUUGUAAACUUCUUUUAUAAGGGACGAAAAAAGGCUUUUCUAAGUCGUCUGACGGUACCUUAUGAAUAAGCACCGGCUAACUCCGUGCCAGCAGCCGCGGUAAUACGGAGGGUGCAAGCGUUAUCCGGAUUCACUGGGUUUAAAGGGUGCGUAGGCGGGCAGGUAAGUCAGUGGUGAAAUCCUAGAGCUUAACUCUAGAACUGCAAUUGAUACUAUCUGUCUUGAAUAUUGUGGAGGUAAGCGGAAUAUGUCAUGUAGCGGUGAAAUGCUUAGAUAUGACAUAGAACACCUAUUGCGAAGGCAGCUUACUACGCAUAUAUUGACGCUGAGGCACGAAAGCGUGGGGAUCAAACAGGAUUAGAUACCCGAGUAGUCC